rnacentral:rRNA from 1 species
GUCUUCUUGUUUUUAUUUGAAGUCUGACCUGCCCGGUGAGUUUUUAACGGCCGCGGUAUUUUGACCGUGCAAAGGUAGCAUAAUCAUUUGUCUUUUAAUUGAAGGCUGGAAUGAAGGGUUUAACGAGGUAAUGACUGUCUCAUAUUUAAAUCAUUUAAAAUUUAAUUUUUGAGUUAAAAAGCUCAAAUUUUAUUGUAAGACGAGAAGACCCUAUAGAGCUUUAUGAUUAAAUUAUUAUCUUUUUUUGUUUAUUAUUAUUUUUUUAUUAGUUUAAUUUUUUUGUUGGGGUGACAAGUGAAUAUAAUUAACUUUUAUAUUUUAUUUACUCUUAUAAGUGAAUAAUAGAUCCAUUAUUAAUGAUCAUUAGAAUAAGUUACCUUAGGGAUAACAGCGUAAUCUUUUUUUGAAGCUCAAAUUUAUAAAAAGGCUUGCGACCUCGAUGUUGGAUUAAGAUAAUAGUUAGGUGUAGCAGCUUAAUUUAUAGGUCUGUUCGACCUUUAAAUUCUUACAUGAUCUGAGUUCAGACCGG